rnacentral:rRNA from 1 species
CGACGUGAGGAACCUGCCUCGGAGUGGGGAAUAACACAACGAAAGCUGUGCUAAUACCGCAUGAUACAGUUGGGUCGCAUGACUCUGACUGUCAAAGAUUUAUCGCCCUGAGAUGGCCUCGCGUCUGAUUAGCUAGUUGGUGGGGUAACGGCCCACCAAGGCGACGAUCAGUAGCCGGACUGAGAGGUUGACCGGCCACAUUGGGACUGAGACACGGCCCAG